rnacentral:rRNA from 1 species
UACGGAGGGGGCAAGCGUUGUCCGGAUUUAUUGGGUUUAAAGGGUGCGUAGGCGGGAUAUUAAGUCAGUGGUGAAAGCCUUCAGCUCAACUGAAGGACUGCCAAUGAUACUGGUAUUCUGGAGUACAGACGAGGUAGGCGGAAUUUAUGGUGUAGCGGUGAAAUGCAUAGAUACCAUAAAGAACACCGAUAGCGAAGGCAGCUUACCAGGCUGUAACUGACGCUGAGGCACGAAAGCGUGGGGAGCGAACAGG